rnacentral:rRNA from 1 species
UUUUAAAGCUUGCUUUUGAAAGGUCAGCGGCGGACGGGUGAGUAACACGUGGGCAACCUGCCUGUAAGACUGGGAUAACUUCGGGAAACCGGAGCUAAUACCGGAUAAUAUAAGGAACCUCCUGGUUCUUUAUUGAAAGAUGGUUUCGGCUAUCACUUACAGAUGGGCCCGCGGCGCAUUAGCUAGUUGGUGAGGUAACGGCUCACCAAGGCGACGAUGCGUAGCCGACCUGAGAGGGUGAUCGGCCACACUGGGACUGAGACACGGCCCAGACUCCUACGGGAGGCAGCAGUAGGGAAUCUUCCACAAUGGACGAAAGUCUGAUGGAGCAACGCCGCGUGAGCGAUGAAGGCCUUCGGGUCGUAAAGCUCUGUUGUUAGGGAAGAACAAGUGCGAGAGUAACUGCUCGCACCUUGACGGUACCUAACCAGAAAGCCACGGCUAACUACGUGCCAGCAGCCGCGGUAAUACGUAGGUGGCAAGCGUUGUCCGGAAUUAUUGGGCGUAAAGCGCGCGCAGGUGGUCCUUUAAGUCUGAUGUGAAAGCCCACGGCUCAACCGUGGAGGGGUCAUUGGAAACUGGGGGACUUGAGUGCAGAAGAGGAAAGUGGAAUUCCAAGUGUAGCGGUGAAAUGCGUA